GACGAACGCUGGCGGCGUGCUUAACACAUGCAAGUCGAACGGAAAGGCCCUGCUUUUGUGGGGUGCUCGAGUGGCGAACGGGUGAGUAACACGUGAGUAACCUGCCCUUGACUUUGGGAUAACUUCAGGAAACUGGGGCUAAUACCGGAUAGGAGCUCCUGCUGCAUGGUGGGGGUUGGAAAGUUUCUGCGGUUGGGGAUGGACUCGCGGCUUAUCAGCUUGUUGGUGGGGUAGUGGCUUACCAAGGCUUUGACGGGUAGCCGGCCUGAGAGGGUAACCGGCCACAUUGGGACUGAGAUACGGCCCAGACUCCUACGGGAGGCAGCAGUGGGGAAUAUUGCACAAUGGGCGGAAGCCUGAUGCAGCAACGCCGCGUGCGGGAUGACGGCCUUCGGGUUGUAAACCGCUUUCGCCUGUGACGAAGCGUGAGUGACGGUAAUGGGUAAAGAAGCACCGGCUAACUACGUG
rnacentral:rRNA from 1 species